rnacentral:miRNA from 1 species
UUCUCUGUGUAGCUCUGGCUGUCCUGGAACUCACUCUGUAGACCAAGCAGGCCUUGAACUCAGAGAUCUGCCUGACUCUGCCUCUCAGAGUGCUGGGAUUAAAGGCCUGCUCCACCACUGUC